UACGUAGGGGGCAAGCGUUGUCCGGAAUCAUUGGGCGUAAAGAGCGUGUAGGCGGCUCGGUAAGUCCGCUGUGAAAGUCCAGGGCUCAACCCUGGAAUGCCGGUGGAAACUGUCGAGCUAGAGUCCGGAAGAGGCGAGUGGAAUUCCUGGUGUAGCGGUGAAAUGCGCAGAUAUCAGGAGGAACACCGGUGGCGAAGGCGGAUCUCUGGGCCGAUACUGACGCUGAGGAGCGAAAGCGUGGGGAGCGAACAG
rnacentral:rRNA from 1 species